GUACACUCCUGCGGGAGGCAGCAGUGGGGAAUAUUGGACAAUGGGCGCAAGCCUGAUCCAGCCAUGCCGCGUGAGUGAUGAAGGCCCUAGGGUUGUAAAGCUCUUUCACCGGUGAAGAUAAUGACGGUAACCGGAGAAGAAGCCCCGGCUAACUUCGUGCCAGCAGCCGCGGUAAUACGAAGGGGGCUAGCGUUGUUCGGAUUUACUGGGCGUAAAGCGCACGUAGGCGGACUAUUAAGUCAGGGGUGAAAUCCCGGGGCUCAACCCCGGAACUGCCUUUGAUACUGGUAGGCUUGAGUUCGAGAGAGGUGAGUGGAAUUCCGAGUGUAGAGGUGAAAUUCGUAGAUAUUCGGAGGAACACCAGUGGCGAAGGCGGCUCACUGGCUCGAUACUGACGCUGAGGUGCGAAAGCGUGGGGAGCAAACAGGAUUAGAAACCCCAGUAGUCCCAUGU
rnacentral:rRNA from 1 species